CUCGUAGGCGGUUCGUCGCGUCCGGUGUGAAAGCCCAUCGCUUAACGGUGGAUCCGCGCCGGGUACGGGCGGGCUGGAGUGCGGUAGGGGAGACUGGAAUUCCCGGUGUAACGGUGGAAUGUGUAGAUAUCGGGAAGAACACCAAUGGCGAAGGCAGGUCUCUGGGCCGUUACUGACGCUGAGGAGCGAAAGCGUGGGGAGCGAACA
rnacentral:rRNA from 1 species